UACGUAGGGCGCAAGCGUUAUCCGGAAUUAUUGGGCGUAAAGAGCUCGUAGGCGGUUUGUCGCGUCUGCCGUGAAAGUCCGGGGCUCAACUCCGGAUCUGCGGUGGGUACGGGCAGACUAGAGUGAUGUAGGGGAGACUGGAAUUCCUGGUGUAGCGGUGAAAUGCGCAGAUAUCAGGAGGAACACCGGUGGCGAAGGCGGGUCUCUGGGCGAACUACUGACGCUGAGGAGCGAAAAGCGUGGGGAGCGAAACAGG
rnacentral:rRNA from 1 species